rnacentral:rRNA from 1 species
UACGGAGGGUGCAAGCGUUAUCCGGAUUUACUGGGUUUAAAGGGUGUGUAGGCGGGCUUUUAAGUCAGUGGUGAAAUCUCCGGGCUCAACCCGGAAACUGCCAUUGAUACUAUUAGUCUUGAAUUUUGUUGAGGUAGGCGGAAUAAGUCAUGUAGCGGUGAAAUGCUUAGAUAUGACUUAGAACACCAAUUGCGAAGGCAGCUUGCUAAACAAACAUUGACGCUGAG